rnacentral:rRNA from 1 species
AGAUUGAACGCUGGCGGCAUGCCUAACACAUGCAAGUCGAACGGGAGUAGCAAUACUCUAGCGGCGGACGGGUGAGGAAUACGUAGGAAUUUGCCCUUAAGUGGGGGAUAACCCGGGGAAACCCGGAUUAAUACCGCAUGACCUCGAAAGAGCAAAGUGGGGGAUCACAGACCUCAC